ensembl:lncRNA
UCCACCACUACUGAAAAUCAAUUGACUGAACUACGAACCACGCUGGAUCCAUGGUGGUGACUAUCUCCCUCUUGCCUCCCAUAGGUGACAUAGUACCUCUGAGCUGCAAUCAAAGAAACAGGUCCCACUCUAUCAAGGCUUUUGCAAAUAAAUAACAAAAAAGCAGAAGGGUUUUCCAGAGAAUCCACUGUCUUGGUUUAUGAUGGUACCGUGAGAAUGGGGAUAAACAGGGGAAGAAGACGUGAGCAGAUAGUGAGAGUGAGGUAAGAGAAAAAUAAUCACGAUUUAAUAUACCAUUUCUUUCUAAUAUUCUUGAUUUUACCUAUUCUUACCUAUCAAAUCACAGGCUUUACUGUUGACUUUAGUUCGUCCUGGCUGCACUGUCCCUGCGGAUCCCAUUAAUUCCUAUAGGGCUGGUCACCUGACUUUCAUGUGAUAUCUUCUUAUGACCCACAACCUUUUCAUCAUAACUGCAGAUGUAACAGAAUCUUGGAUGCAAGAGAUGGAAUUACGUAUUAAAUUUCAAUCAAUUCUUAUAAUACAAGACAUCACAGUUUCUAG